UACGUAGGGUGCAAGCGUUAAUCGGAAUUACUGGGCGUAAAGCGUGCGCAGGCGGUUUUCCAAGACAGAUGUGAAAUCCCCGGGCUCAACCUGGGAAUGGCAUUUGUGACUGGAAGGCUAGAGUGUGUCAGAGGGGGGUAGAAUUCCACGUGUAGCAGUGAAAUGCGUAGAGAUGUGGAGGAAUACCGAUGGCGAAGGCAGCCCCUGGGAUAACACUGACGCUCAUGCACGAAAGCGUGGGGAGCAAACAGG
rnacentral:rRNA from 1 species